AGGGAGAGCUGCAGUCAGUUGGGAAAACCCGGACACAGAGAGAGGAUACGAGAGGACGGGGAAGCCCGUCUACAAACCAAUCAAUCACAACUGUCAGGAGACGCAGAUCACAUAGUGAUGACGACAGGAUGUAGUGUAUAGGUCUUUUGCAGUGCACUUGCAUAACUGCAGUGGGAAACCAAAACGGAUCAA